rnacentral:lncRNA from 1 species
AAAUGGUAAGAUGAAUAAAAAUUCUCAAUUGGAAGGCAUGUUCCUAAAGGGCCCAAUGAAUUCCUAAUUGGAAUUAGGGGAUCUUUUUUAAUUGAUUCUUUUAUCACACUGUGAUAUUUUACAUCUUUGAAUGGCUCCAUUCGAGAACAAUUGGCUGCUGACAAAAUUAUCAACGACUGACAUUCCUUAUUUCUAUUCAACAACGUAUGAAUAGUUCCUUGAGGUUGGUUAAGAGAUUGUUGAAUUUUUGCCUUGGAAUAGGAAUAAAUAGCAGAAAAGGGAUUGAUAUUGGUACAAUCCGAUCCAUUAUCAGAGAGCAAUCCUGACCCCGACGGAUCAUUCCUUUUUCCGAUAUACGAAAUAGGGGAUUUCACUAAGUUGAUUUUUAGGAAAUGUCGAAUCAAACCAUUUGUCCUUAUUUCAACAAAAGAAGCACGGGCUUCUUCGCAAGAAGAACUUUUUUUGUCUUGGUUCCAAUUCAAUACUAAACAAGUCCGAACUAAUUGAAUACUUGUGUCAGAAAUUCCUCGAAUCGGUUUGCCAUUUCCAUAAAGGAUAUAAUUGACAAUUCGAAGUUGCACAUUAUCCCUUUCCUGCAAUGGAUCCGGUGGAAAAAGGGUUCCUAAAUUUAUACCGUCCGUUAUUUCAUAUGUGACGACAGGUCGAACUAAAACAAAAAACCUUUUCUUACUAGGUGUAAUUCGUUGGACAUAGAUCCAAUUUUGAACUUUUUUGUAUUCCUUGGAAUUUCUUUUUCCUGUUCCUGGUGGUAUCAAAACGCCGGUAUGCCUGGAUAUCUUAUCCGUCUCUCCAGGAAAAUGGAUAUCUCCAGAAAAGAUUUUCAGUUCAAUUCGUUUUUUUUUUCUCUCCACCCGGACCAACCCACCGACUCGGCUUCUUAGAUUUAAGGUGAUUUGUGUAUCGACCCCAACGAUACUAUUGUUCCGUACCAUUAGGGAAGAAGAUCCGGGCAAGAUAUGCACCUCUUCAGGAAUGAAAAAAAAUCGAUCUACUUUCAUUUGGUAUUUUGGCCUAAAUUCCUUGACUCCUCGAUACUCAAUCAAAUCCUCUUUUUUGAUGACUGAAUGCGUUUCUAUAGUCCCAUAUUUAAUAAUGCCCGAACUCUUUCUUCUGUAUCGAGGAUCAUCGAAAUAAGCAAGAAUACUAUUUCGACGGAAAAUACCAUUUACGGGGAUUUCAAUCGAGAUACCUGAACAGGGCAUUAGUUCAUUCUCGAGUUCUUGAAUCGAGUGUAGUGGAAUGAUGAAUUUAUUUCUUCGCCUUUUUGACAAUAAAGCAGAAUUCCCGUGAAGAAUAGGCGAAUAUACGAGAUUAUACUGGCCAGUACAUAUGAUUCGAUUAAGGUCUGAAUAAUCAGGAAUCCUAUCUUCUUUUUGACCAUAAAAAUCCGAACUAAACAAUUUCUGCCUCGCCUGAUCAUUGGUUACUGAGAGGUUAGAAGUAUAUCUUCGCUUGCCAGAAAGAGAAUGCGCAUUCAUUUGAUCCUGAUCCUUGUGGAUCGAAAGGUAGACUAGACUGGACCUGCACGGCCCUCCUAAUAAUAUCCAUAAAUGACUUGUUUUUGGUAAUAGAUGAACAUUACCAUAUGUAAAUUCGGGUGCAUGAUAGACAUCGGUACUCCAGUGCAUUUCUCCGUCUGAAUCAGAAUAAAUAUGUUUUCGAACCUUCUCUUUAAAAUUCAAAGUGGAUAUUCCUGCGCGAAUCUCAGCAAUUACUUGUUCUGAUUCUACGUAUUGAUCGUUUUGAACUAAAAGCAAACUUUUGGGUGGAAUAUUCACAUUAUGUAGAAUAUCUUCACUCUCAAUAGUUACAUACAAGUCUAUAGAACAUAGAAAGGCGGGAUGCCCAUGACGUGUACGUGUCGGAUGAACCAAGUCCUCAUUGAAUUUUAUUUUUCCAUUAGAUGGGGCUCGCACAUGUUCUGCAGUACCCCCCGUGAAUACUCCUCCGGUAUGAAAAGUUCGUAAUGUUAAUUGAGUACCCGGUUCUCCAAUCGAUUGACCUGCAAUAAUACCUACAGCUUCCCCCAAUUCAACCAGGUCGCCAUGAGUAGGACUACGCCCAUAACAUAAUCGACAAAUCCAAGAUGUACUCCUACAAGUAAAGGGAGUUCGAAUAGAGAUUGGUUGUGCCCGAAAGGUUAUGAAUCGAUUUACAAGUCCAAUGCCAAUGGCUUGGUUUCUAGUGGCAAUACAUCGUGAACCCAUGUAUAUAUCAUCUGCUAAUACACGGCCAAUUAAUGUUUGACUAAAAAUCCUUUCCGGCAUUAUCCCAUUCCGAGGACUCACAGAAAUACCCCGGGCGGUGCCACAAUCCGUUCGACGUACAACAAUGUGUUGAACUACUUCAACAAGUCUGCGAGUGAGAUAUCCAGCGUCUGAUGUUCGUACAGCAGUAUCCACAACUCCUUUACGGGCUCCGUAGCAAGAAAUGAUGUAUUCUGUUAAAGAGAGUCCUUCGCGUAAAUUGCUUUGAAUAG